AUGGAACGGGCAGAGAUGGCAAAUGCCCCGUUCCCUGCCGAUGGCAAACGCCCCGUUCCCUGGGCUGGAGCGGCUCUGGGAAGGACAGUGCCAGGAACAGGUGCUCCCUGGCUGCAGGACUGCACAAGGAUGCAGGUCUCCAAGCUCAUCCCCAUCCUUUCCUCUCCUCUCCAAGCAGCAAAUAAACCUCUGACCACCCUGGAAGAAAAUGAUGUGCAUACCUGUAAUGCUUGGCAGGGUCGGGGUGGGUGGUGGGAUGCACAGACCUGCCCCUGUAGCUUCCAGGGACUGCUUUGCAAGUCCACCAUUUCUCUAAGGAACAGCUUAACUGAAAGCACAAAAGCUUCAAAAAUUAAUAUUCCUGUGUAAAUAAUUGCAGUAACAUAACCCUGAAGUUGUGCUUAUGAAACAUUUAACUCACCAAAGUUUUGCAAGUGUUCAUUCUUCUUUUUCCAUUUUUCUGGAAAUGGUGAUGCAUGUGAACUACAGUUCACUUCUCAACCUCCUGGUAUUUUUUUUCUACAUUUCAGUGUUCUAUCAUCCCCAAAAAUUCUUGACUGGAGUCAGUGAGUUUCAAAAUUAAUAAGAGGCAUGUAUUAGGAAAGGUCACAUUAACUUUUUGGGCAUUGGGCCAGGACUAUUCAACAGUUAAAAAUUUAAACAUUUUCUCAGUUACUUAAACUCAUUAUAAAGUUAAAACAGCAGAAAAAAAUUAAAGAGAGAGAAGGCAUAUUUUGACUGAAAAAAGAACCUGUAAUUUUCUUGGAUGAGUUUUACUUUUCCUUUGAGCCUAAUGCAUGUCUGCUCAGCACCAGCAAUACUUUUAUUGACUUCACUGGGACCUGAUCGAGUCCUGGAUCUGCAAACAUGUCUGGGUCCAAACUCCCAGAUACCCCUGGGAGAGGUGCUAGAGAUGAGAUCUGGGAUAAGGAACGUAUUCUGGAUAACAACCUCAGCACAUCUCAUUAAAGAAGUGUUAGUUUGUCAAUGAAAGGGGAUAUGGUGCACAAGAGGCCAGUGUAAUGUUCUCCCAGGCUACAGCCUAAUUCCAACUGUCCAGCCAUAUAAUCUUGGAAAAACAGGAAUGCUUAGAUAGGCUGGUGAUAAUUAAAUGGUGUGUCCCACUGCUCAUCUCUGGAGUUGUCUUUGAUUUCCCAAGUGACAGAAGAAGUUGGCUGGGCUGCUCUGUUACACCAAGCAAGGAUCCAGGCUUUCCAGGAAGGUACAAAUUAUUUUGUACAAAUAACCCCACAGAUUAGGAAAUCUGUCCUGUUUACAUCUCUAAACUGCAAUAACUCAGCACAGCAGUGCUGAGAACAUCUUUUAUUCUGAGAGCCUGGAAGUGUAAGGAUAAAUCACUGGAAUGAAUCAUCUCUUUCCUCGCAGUUUUGCCCUCUUAGCCUCUUUUCACAGUUAGACCACUGCCUUUAAACAAGAAAUCCGGUUAGCAUGUCUCAAGUUGUGGAUGACACUAAAUCCUUGUCAAGCAGUUCUGACCUGGAAAUCUCAAGGCUGACCUUUCCCUUCUGAGAGACAGAGAGACACAAAUCCUCAAUUAGCUUUGAGGCACAACACAAGUCUUAUACACUUUGGAUCAAAUUCAAUCCUGAUGAAAGAAGAUGCAAUCCUCUGGAGUCUCUGGGAGCUACAAGCUGUCAUUAAAGUUGUGUUUCACCCCUGAGUUUUUCCAUGAAACCCUUUAGGAUCCUGCAGAUUACAGCCUGGGUAGCAGGGGAUUCCUGAUCCUAUAGUGUUUUAGUCACAUAAGAAACUUUGCUCUAAGCAUUAUAAACACUCACAUGAAUAAGGAGCUUGAGAGAUAUGGAGAUACUGGAAAAGUUGGUAAUGAUUUUAUCCAGGUGUCCUCCCAGUUUUUGAUAGAAGGGUCCUGUUUUACAUCACCUCUUUUUCAAUGCUCAGGCACAUUAGAAGGGGUUAGAAAACCACAAAUCAAAGAUCUGCCUAUCAGUCAGGGCCCAGCAGGGAUGUCCCACCCAGCAGCACCUGUUUUCACCAUUAAUUGAACUCCUCCUUCUUGGAAAUUAAAAUAAUUCUGUUCAGUUUUCAUUGUUUUGGUAUUUUCUAAGUCAUUGCACAGGGAAGAUGGCAAUUACUGUGGGAAGUAACAUUUGUUCUGUAAAAUUACAAGGAGGCCGAAUCAAACCCAAGAAAUUUGCCUGCUCAACACAUUCUAAAUACAAAAAAAAAAAAAAAAUCAUCAUUUGAUAGGCUUGUGAUCAACAUAGGGCUAUAGUAGGAAUGGACCCAGGUUUGGGUAAGAUCCUAUUCAAAAAAUAUACCUGUAGGAACACAAUUCUUAACAUGGGACAGCUUUGUCCCUCCUGAGGAUCUCUCUUCUGCUAACUCUAUAGGAAAUUUUAAUAUGAUGAUGAUCAGAGGGAUGGAGCAGCUCUGCUAACAAGGAAAAGGUGAGAAAACUGAGAUUGUUCAGCCUGAAGAGAAAAGACUUUGGGGGGCUCUAAUGCAGACUUCCAGUUGUUGAAGGGAACCUGGAGGAAAGAUGGAGCAAGAUUAUUUGUAAGAGCCUGUAAUGACAGGACAAGGGGGAAUGGCUUCAAAUCAAAAGUGAGGAUGUUUAGAUUAGA
ensembl:lncRNA